AGUGAACGCUGGCGGUAGGCCUAACACAUGCAAGUCGAACGGCAGCACAGUAAGAGCUUGCUCUUACGGGUGGCGAGUGGCGGACGGGUGAGGAAUACAUCGGAAUCUACUUUUUCGUGGGGGAUAACGUAGGGAAACUUACGCUAAUACCGCAUACGACCUACGGGUGAAAGCAGGGGAUCUUCGGACCUUGCGCGAUUGAAUGAGCCGAUGUCGGAUUAGCUAGUUGGCGGGGUAAAGGCCCACCAAGGCGACGAUCCGUAGCUGGUCUGAGAGGGUGAUCAGCCACCGGGGACCGAGACCAGGGCCCAGACCCCACGGGGGGCGAGCAUGGGGAAUAUUUGAAAAAUGGGGGAAAGCCUGACCCAGCAUGCCCGGGGGGGGGAGAAAGGCCUCGGGGUGGUAAACCCCUUUUGUUGGGAAAAAAAAGCGGAAGUUUAAACCCCCCCGUUUUGGACGGAACCAAAAAAAAAACCCCCGCUUAACUCCUU
rnacentral:rRNA from 1 species